UACGUAGGGUGCGAGCGUUGUCCGGAAUUAUUGGGCGUAAAGAGCUCGUAGGCGGCCUGUCGCGUCGGUUGUGAAAGCCCGGGGCCUAACCCCGGGUCUGCAGUCGAUACGGGCAGACUAGAGGUAUGCAGGGGAGAACGGAAUUCCUGGUGUAGCGGUGAAAUGCGCAUAUAUCAGGAGGAACACCGGUGGCGAAGGCGGUUCUCUGGGCAUUACCUGACGCUGAGGAGCGAAAGUGUGGGGAGCGAACAGG
rnacentral:rRNA from 1 species